GUAGAUUCUGGCUGCUCACUCAACAGAGCUCAGGAUGUUGCCUUACCUCGGUUUGCUCAGGACAACUGGCAGAACUUUGUUUACAUAUUGGCUAAGAAGCUCAGAAACCCCCCGGAUGUCUGAGGUUAACGAUGGAGAGCCUGGUCCCACUGCAGCAGAGGAAACCCUGGCAAGAGUUGCAA
rnacentral:lncRNA from 12 species